rnacentral:lncRNA from 1 species
GGCACAUAUCAUCUCCGAAGUGGAAUUGGCGCUGCCCCAUUGAUCGCUGACCCUGCCGUCAAUCAUCAACAUUGGAUAUCGUCAAAUCCAUCUACAGCCACCAUAAGUUUUCCAAUGUGAGAACCCUCACAUAACCCUCUGUAAUGUAUCAUGAUCUCUAUUGCAAUUUAUUUUUAUCCACUGCAGUCUAUGAUUAGGUUGAUUUCCGUGAUAAUUUUCAUGUAAACUCGCCACUGUCCUCGCGUCCAGCCACGCUGCUGCCGGUUGGCAUUCAUGUUCCCAUUUAUCUAGACAUUUGGUCAUCAAACCCUUUGAUCAUGAUGUAGUUCUUGAAUUUACACAAGCCCCUACAAGUUAGUUUGGUCGUAAGAGCUAAGAUAAAAGUGAUAUCAUCUUUUCCAUGCUUGCUGUCUCUGUUGUUUCAGCAGCGAAUCACCUCUGAAUUUCAGUGAAGUUCCCCAUUUAUCCAUUGAUUUAUUUGAUUAAUCCUUUGGCUAGAAUAUCUUACUUACCUACACAUGACUUUGUACAAUUCCAUGGCCAUAGGGUCCAAUCUGAAAGAGUUAUAAUUGUUCUUGUGCUUGUUGUCCCUGCUUCCCCACAGCGGUGUUGAGGCCCGUUGGCAAGCAUGUUCCUGUUGAUUCGCUGUUCCAGUGGCCAAUCCCUUUGACCACAAUGUGUAUCAUAUACUUACACACAUCUCCACAAGUUUUCUUGGUCAUAUGAACCACAAUAUUCAAAAUAUAGGCAUCACCAUGUUGCGGCUCCUGCCAUACCCACAGCAACGCAGUACAAUCUUGCAAUCUCGUUCCCUAGCUAAUCGAUAGUCAAAACAUCAUAUCCUUUUGUCAUAACAUACUCCAUAGAGUCCGUAACAGGCUCACAAAAUUUAUCUCAGUUUGGUGCUUUUAUGACCAUGUUCCCUGUGAUCAUAACCACCGCUGUCCACCACUAAGUUUACGCAACCGGUGUGCAAAUCAUCAUAAUCAUGUUUUUCUUUGAUCUAGCAUUCACUUAUUGCAGCAACUUGUGAAAUAUGUUCUGAGUGUCCCAUCCACAAAUCCAAAUGAUCAUCCACGUAUCCAAAAAACACUCUCUCAUAUCCUAAAGGAACAAGCAAAACUCGUGUCAUAUAUUCAGUGCUCUUGCUAGCAUUGUUUCUUUCCCUGCUCAAUCUUGGGCAAGUUCCAUCCAUACCAACAACCACAAAUGUCCCUAUGUCAUCACGUUCUAUAGUGGGAGAGUGAUCCUCUUUCCUAAAUAUUAUCAUAGUUCUGACCUCAUGAUCCAUGUCUUCCAUUAGCAACCGCUGGCGGGUCGACAAAUGGCAAACUCGUUAUGUCACAACAACAUGAUCUUACUCUUGUCCAGUCAUCAACAUGUAUAUGCUCUAUUACACAAAGCCUAGCACCUUCAUCCUCUCAAGUGUGAUCUAGCCCUUAGAUCUGCUUAUGUUCACCUCAUUCUUUUCAAUGACAUGUCCAUCUUAUGUACAAGUCUCUAAACAUUUAUAUAUCCAUUUGCUUUGUCAAUCCUUCAAGUUAGCACUUAUCGAUCAUGUUAAUCCCAUUCUGGUCAUUUACUAAACCAUCUAGCUUCGACCUUUGAUCUUUCACAUCUUUUAAACCAUAGCUUCGUUUAGUUGUUUAUGCGCUCAAACGCUCAUAGUUGCAAGCCUUGCGCGUUUAAAACCUUUAAGACUUGUUUUACAAUGCUCGAUGUAUUGUUUUUACGUUUCUUUUAUGGUGCUUGUGCUGGUUAUUGCGAUCUAUAGAAGAGUAGAUAUGCGAGGAUGAUCCGAAAGGGAAGUUGACACUGCCACACGUUCGGGCAUUAGCACCGGUCGGGAAGGGCCUGUUGCCCCGGUUCCCGAGCCGGUGCUGUCCUUCCGGGACUAAAGGCCCACCCUUUAGUCCCGGUUCGGGCAACCGGGGCUGAAGCCCCCCCUUUAACACCGGUUGGUAACACCAACCGGUGUUAAAGGGUCCUGCCAGGGCUGCCACGUUGCAGGACCCUUUAACACUGGUUGGUAUUACCAACCGGUGUUAAAGGGUUUCUUUUUCUUUUUUUUUUGGUUCACUUCUUCGGUUCUGUUUAUUGUUUAUAUAUAAUAUAUAAUAAUAGGUUUUUCAAUACAUGUUUUGCUGAUACAAUAAUAUAUUUAUAUUACACGCAUAUUAAGCAUAUAUAAAUGAAAAUUAUAGGCUUAGCUUAAUAAUUAAGCUUUGCCUAUAAUAAAAUGAAUAGACCACAUCAAAAAUUAAAUAGAUAUGUAAAAAGCUUUAUAUAUAUAUAGUUUUAUAUGUACAAAAUUCGUAACACAUAUAUACAUAGAGUUUUUUCUCCCAAUGUCUACAAACGAUACAAAUGAUCAUCGUUGUUUGGAAUAAGAGUUUCGUUGCCGUUGAAGUGAAACUCGCCGUUUCGAUUGAUCACUUGGUCGCGGAGAAAUCCUGCUAUCGUCUCUUGGAUAGCUUUGAUUCGGUCUUGUUGUAGGACCUUUUCCCUCAGUCAUUCCGUCUUUAAUUUGAAAUAAAUAAAAAAGGUAUUAGUUAUCUAAGUUAUUCAAUAUAAUUCAGGAGAUAAUGAAAAGAGACAUGUAACGUACUCUGAGCGUCUCUAUGGGUGUUUGAUUGACUUGUGCCAUCAUGAAUUUGCACACGUAAUAUGCACAUAGAUUGUUCCCCCCUUCUUGUCUUAAACACCACUGUACGAUAUAUAUAUAUAUAUAAAUAUUCACGACCACGACAAUAAGAAGGCUAAAAGUUAGCGAAAGUUUGUUAGCUAGUAGAACUUACUUGUGGAUGUAUUAUGUUAAGCGGCGCUUUACAUCCACUGAGAUGUUCACGGUCAAUGAAUCUUUCCCAAACCCUAUACACAACCAUUGUGGAUCGUGAACUAAUAAUUACAGAGUCAUAUUAUGAUAUUUUUGUAGCUGAGAUCGACAUUACGUACCUUUGAAUAAUGUUUACCAUUUGUUGAUAAUUUUCUUGUGGUUUUCUCAUUGAGUCAAAGAUUAUCAACCGGUUCUUGGGAAUUUCAAUGACCAUGAGUAUCCAUUGAAAGCUGUUUACACACACAUAUAUAUAGUCAGUCCUAUAAUGUAAAAAAAAUAUGCAUGCACUUAAUAACUAUAUAACUCACUCGAAGUUGAAGGGGAAGAGUAUUUUUUGUUUUUCUUUUUGGUUCACAAAGAACCUCAUAAGAUUGGUGCACACUUCUGUCUCAUGAUCUGCUGUCCACACUGCCUGCGGAGCCUUGAAAACAAUAUAAGGGUCAACGAACCCAAUACUAUUGUCAUUUUUCAUUCUGAGCUCUCUCAUUUGGUGCCUGCAUAUAUACAUAUAAAUCCUAAGUGUGUAAGUAUUAUAUACAUGUAAUUAAAGAAGUUAGAAGUAUAAUAAAAAGAAAAAAAAUACUUACAGACAAAAGCAGCUGACAAGAGAUUUGUCAAAAGCGUCGAGGUGGCAUAAUUGGUGCAAUUCUUCGAACUGCACGUAUAUGAGGUCAUCUCCACGAAAGUAGUGAUGUUGUCUAAUACGAACAGAAAUCCAAUUAUCUCCCCUUUUAGACGCCUCAAUGCAUCAUUUGUUUAUUGCAAACAUUUGUGUGCCGAGCUCGUGUAAACGCUUAGGGUCGAAUAGACUCCUGCCCGGUUCAUAUCUUGCCCUCCAUUGAUCAACUACCUCAACUUUUUCAAAUGUUUGGCAUCCAAGAAUGGCGGCAAUUUCUUCCAUAUUUAAACCGCUCUGUCCAAAGUAACGCUCAAGCGAGUCUAGCUCAGACAACGCUAAGGAUUUCUUUGGCAUCAAGUCUUCAUUUGAGCCGUAUUGAUUUGGCACAAUCAAAGAGGGCACCAGUUUUGAUACUUCUCCGAGCUGUGGGACCCCCUUUCCUACUCUCUUCUUAGUAGGCUGUGAAGACUUGACCAGAGACCGCUCAUAGUCCGAAAGUGCUGGCUUUUUCUGAGCUUCGCGUUGCUUCUUUUGAUGGUCCGCCACCUUCUGCCUCAGUCCGAUGGCUUCACAUAAAAGUACGGCUUUUCUGGGUUAAGCCGUUUUUUCCUAUCCUCCUUUAUUUUAUCAAAAAAUUGUUGGACCUCAGCUUUGGAUGUAGCAAUUACCUCCUCUUCACUCUUUUCGUAAGGUAAUUUUUCUGGCGUCUUAGCUCUCUUUGCUGAGGCAGCCUUCUUUGGAGGUGGGACCGAUGACUUCGGUCCUUCUUGGGCGGACCGCUUCUUACUACCUCGCUUUGGAGGCGAGGGGACCGACCGUGCACUCUUUGGAGAGGGCGGUGCAGGCGGUGGAGGGGGUGGGGCCGAUCUUUUUGGCGUUGGAGAACGCGGUGGAGGAGUUGGAGAACGCGGUGGAGGAGUUGGAGACCUCGGUGGAGGAGGUGGAGACCGUGGUGGAGGCGGUGGCGGGGUCGGUGUGGCCGCCGCAGGUGUUGGAGGAGAUCCAGCAUUGUCACCGCCCGCAGCACUAUGAUGCGCUGGGGAGAGAACUGGACUUAGGUUGGAGGAGUCCCUGCAAAGAAAACAAUUAAAAGUUUUGUGAGUAAACUUUUUUUUAAUUUCAAUACAUAAUAAAUAAUAUAAGAAGUAAAAUCACACACAAACCUAUGCUGAGGAAUAAUUAUGAAGCGCUUGCGCCAACAAAUAAAUGUCUUCUCAGCUUCACCUAAGGUCUUCUCUCCGUCUCCCCGUUCUAUGUCUAGUGGCACAUUGCCACAACCUUUCUCAACCCUAUCAACCGAGACGCUAGCAUAUCCACCAGGUACUGGUCGAUUAUGGAUUCUUGGAGUUCUCGUUCGGUCGAUAGGGUUGACAACAGCGAUAGACACCUUUUUGGUGGCAUUCCCAUCUGGUACAUGCAGCUCACAGGUAGUAAAAGCCUCUGUGACAUCAUCCACGGGGAAGUGUAGCUUCGUGUCAUCCUGAAUGGUUGGUACUUCUGUGGAUACGUAGCUGCUUUUCAACUGGCCUGGGGGGCUAACAUUGACCUCAGGCUGUGAUGUACCUUGCCCUUUCGUCAUUUGACUAAGUGCUGCUUGCACUUGCCUUUGAAUCUCUGCCUGCAUCCAUUCUUCACGAGCUUUCUCACGCUCUUGUGACUGCAGAACAAAAGCUUCCAGGCGGCGGAUCCGCUCUGCCUCCUCAUCCUUCUUUCUCUGGCGGCUUCUGUAGGUAUCUUGAUCGGCUUGGAAUGAUUGCAGCCACGGAACUGCCCCAUAGCCUCUCGUACGUCCACCGUGCUCAGGAUUUUCAAGCGCAUAGGUGAGUUCAUCCUUCUCCCUGUUAGGCCUGAACUCACCAGACUGAACCGCCUCUCGUGCACGGACUAGUCUCUCUGCUGCUCUAGAGAUUUCUUGGCCCCAAACUAGCGCCCCGGUGUCUGGGUCCACGCUUUCCCCAUGACCGUAGAACCAAUGCUUGGAGCGCUCGCUCCAAUUCUUUGCUAUUGUCUCGGAUGUGACCCCCCUAGCAAGCAUCUCCUGUUCCAUUUGGUCCCACUUGGGAACAACACUCUUAUAACCACCUGAUCCCAUAUGAUGGUGGUAUGUCUUUUUACUGGCAUUCUCUUUGUUUCUAUUGGCUCGUUUCUCGCCCUCUUCUGAUGUUUUGUACUGCACAAAGUCAUCCCAGAAGGCCCUCAGCUUUACAUCCCAGAAAUCUGGAGUCUCGUUUUUCUUGACAUAUUUAUUGUACAAAGACUUCUUCCAAUUCUGGAAGAGUACUGCCAUCUUCUUCAUAAUCCAGUCAUAAAUUCGCACCUUCAACUCUUCAUCGUUGGUGUCGAAGGUGAAAACGUCUGUGACGGCUUUCCAAACUAACUCCUUGUCACGAUCAGAGACAAAACUGAUCUCAGGAGCACCUCGCUUCUCUCUCCAUUCACGACAACUGAUCGGUAUUUGAUCUCUCACAAGAUAUCCACAAUGACUAACAUAUUUAUUUGCAUGCUCACCAAGUGGUCUGCUUGUAGCUAUCUCAAACUCAGAGAUUACAUAGCGGCCCUCCAACGGCUUCUUUGGCCCUCGUGGAGGUACGCUUCUCCCCGUAGAGAUCGAUCCAGAAGGCUACACGUACAUAUAGAAACAAAAAUACUAAAUUAAUAACCAAGUAAUAAGUCUAAAACCUAAUGUAAGAGAUGCAUUAUUUAUAUAUGUUUACAUUUACAUACCUCGCCAGUAUUUUCUUCUUGUUGCACGACAAGUUGUUGCUCAGGGGCAUUGCCCUCUUGUUGCUCAGUAGGAUUGCCUUGCAUGAUGUCGUGGUAAUCAACAAAGUACUGACUACCGUCGUCGAUUAUAUUUUGAAUGGCAGCUUCCAUAUAAUCAGGAUCAUCAUGAGGACGGUCAGCCAUUUCUAUGUCUGCAACCAUAUAUAUAUAUAUAUAUAUAUAUAUAUAUAUAUAUAUAUAUAUAUAUAUAUAUAUAUAUAUAUAUAUAUUCUAUAUAAGAUAAGAAGUACACUAAUACUACUACAAAUGAAAGUGUUGGAGUGCUCUAAAAAUAAUACUAGGAUCUUUUAAGCCAAGUAAUACAUUAGAAUAAAAAACAAUACUAGAAUAAUACAUACAUACAUACAAACAAUUAUAAUUCAUACAUAAAAACUAUAUAUAUGUGUGUGUAUAUGUACAAAAAAUAAUAUACAUACAUACAAAAAAUAAUACAUAUAUACAAAAAAUAAAACAUACAUACAUACAUACUAUAUAUAUACUAGAAUAAUAUAUUAAAAAAUAAUACAUACAUACAUACAUACAAACAAUUAUAAUUCAUACAUACAAACUAUAUAUAUGUGUGUGUAUAUGUACAAAAAAUAAUAUACAUACAUACAAAAAAUAAUACAUAUAUACAAAAAAUAAAACAUACAUACAUACUAUAUAUAUAUACUAGAAUAAUAUAUUAAAAAAAUAAUACAUACAUACAUACAAACAAUUAUAAUUCAUACAUACAAACUAUAUAUGUGUGUGUGUAUAUGUACAAAAAAUAAUAUACAUACAUACAAAAAAUAAUACAUAUAUACAAAAAAUAAAACAUACAUACAUACUAUAUAUAUAUACUAGAAUAAUAUAUUAAAAAAAUAAUACAUACAUACAUACAAACAAUUAUAAUUCAUACAUACAAACUAUAUAUGUGUGUGUGUAUAUGUACAAAAAUAAUAUACAUACAUACAAAAAAUAAUACAUAUAUACAAAAAAUAAAACAUACAUACAUACUAUAUAUAUACUAGAAUAAUAUAUUAAAAAAAUAAUACAUACAUACAUACAUACAUACAUACAAACAAUUAUAAUUCAUACAUAAAAACUAUAUAUAUGUGUGUGUAUAUGUACAAAAAAUAAUAUACAUACAUACAAAAAAUAAUACAUAUAUACAAAAAAUAAAACAUACAUACAUACUAUAUAUAUAUACUAGAAUAAUAUAUUAAAAAAAUAAUACAUACAUACAUACAAACAAUUAUAAUUCAUACAUACAAACUAUAUAUAUGUGUGUAUAUAUGUACAAAAAAUAAUAUACAUAUAUACAAAAAAAUAUUACAUAUAUAUACAUAAAAAUAUAUACAAAAAAUAAUACUACAAAUCAAAACACCAUAUAUACAUAUAUAUAUAUAUGUAUAUAUGGUGUUUUGAUUUGUAGUAUUAUUUUUUGUAUAUAUUUUUAUGUAUAUAUAUGUAAUAUUUUUUGUGUAUAUAUAUAUAUAUAUUUCUCUGGUAUAGUGUAUAUAAAUACGUAAUUAAUCAAUGGCGGCGCUCUCGAUCUAUACUUAGCACACAGCCGGCCGGAGAAGAUCGCGUGUGGGGAAGAUGAUGUGUGCAGUGGCCCGCGCGCUCGAUCUGGUCGUGGCCCGCGGCGGCGUUGGCGGAGGGCCGCGGCGGCGCUGGUGGAGAGCCGCGGCGGCGCUGGUGGAGACGGUGGUCGCGGCGGCGAGGGAGUCGAAACGACGGCGGCGAAGAUGAACCCGGCGGCGCUGGAACGAAGACGAAGACGAUGAACUGCCGGAUCCAGGGCUCCUGCGCACAUAUAUAGGGGCGGACCCUUUAGCACCGGUUCCAGCCACGGACCGGUGCUAAAGGGUCCAGCGCGCGCUAGGGCGGGCUCCUGAAAUUUUCAGGACCCUUUAGCACCGGUUCCCACUAUGGGCCGGUGCUAAAGGCCCAUUUUUUUAGUUUAGGGUUUUUCAAUUGUUUUAUAUAUACAGUUUAUAUUAGAAAUUGUAUAGUAAAUUAAAUAUUUUGCAUAAUGUUUUUUAAACAGUGACAUAUAUUGUAAUUUGUUUUAAUGUACACAUGAAAAUUUUUAAACUUAAAUAUCUUAUUGUAUUUUUAAAAUUUGCAAUGAUUUUGUAAGAAAUGUUUAGUAUUUUGUUAAUGCAAAAAUAUAUUAUUCCAAUAAAUUUACAAAAACUAUAUCCAAUGAACGGGAAAUUUAUUUUCACAUCAUAUUGACGUAAAACUUUUUAUUUUUGUUAUUUAUUACUAGGAAUGCUAGUUGGGUAUAAUUUUCAUCAAAUAAAAAAUCAUAUAAAAAUAUAUAUCUUGAUGAACACACCCUUUGACCGAACCCUAGAUUGUCCCAAAUGGAAAAGUCAUGAAUACAAAGUUUGCUACACUCAUCAAGUUCUACAUGUUGUCUAAUGGUCAACUUUUCAUUUGGAAAAGUUUGAACCACUGAAUUUUGAAUUUUCAUAGAACUCAUAGCCACGCAGCGGUUUCGGAACCUUAGAUGGUCUCGAAUGGAAAAGUCAUGAAUUCAAAUAUUGUUCCACUCAUCAAAAUCUACAUUUCAUAUAUAGACCAUUUUUGCAUUUGACAAAGUUUUGGGGAGGUGUAGUUGAAAAUCCACAAUUGAAACAUAUAGUUUCAUAUAGUUUGUGUGAGAUUCAAGAAUUGGUGGGUAUUGUUAACUUAGACUUUCUCAAAUGGAAAAGUUGUGUAUAUAAAAAGUUUAGAUUUUGAAGAUAUCUAACAACUUGGUAUUCAAAAUAUUUUCAUUUGAAGUAAUUUAGUUUGUUAUUUGACCAAGUUUGACCAAAACCCGUCUUGGAUUUUAUAGAAAUGUAAUUAGGAUUGGCUCAAAAUUAUCCAAAUGGAAAAAUGGACAAUAUAUAAAAUAUAGAUCUUGAUGAUCUCUAACAACUUUGUAUUCAAACUUUUUUCAUUUGAAAUCAUCAAAUGGGCUAUUUGACCAAGUUUGACCAAAGUCAAAGCAUUGGUUUUUACAAACACACCCUUUGACCGAACCCUAGAUUGUCCCAAAUGGAAAAGUCAUGAAUACAAAGUUUGCUACACUCAUCAAGUUCUACAUGUUGUCUAAUGGUCAACUUUUCAUUUGGAAAAGUUUGAACCACUGAAUUUUGAAUUUUCAUAGAACUCAUAGCCACGCAGCGGUUUCGGAACCCUAGAUGGUCUCAAAUGGAAAAGUCAUGAAUACAAAUAUUGUUCCACUCAUCAAAAUCUACAUUUCAUAUAUAGACGAUUUUUGCAUUUGACAAAGUUUUGGGAAGGUGUAGUUGAAAAUCCACAAUUGACAUAGAUAGUUUCAUAUAGUUUGUGUGAGAUUCAAGAAUUGGUAGGUAUUGUUAACUUAGACUUUCUCAAAUGGAAAAGUUGUGUAUAUAAAAAGUUUAGAUCUUGAAGAUAUCUAACAACUUGGUAUUCAAAAUAUUUUCAUUUGAAGUAAUUUAGUUUGUUAUUUGACCAAGUUUGACCAAGUUUGACCAAAACCCGUCUUGGAUUUUAUAGAAAUGUAAUUAGGAUUGGCUCAAAAUUAUCCAAAUGGAAAAAUGGACAAUAUAUAAAAUAUAGAUCUUGAUGAUCUCUAACAACUUUGUAUUCAAACUUUUUUCAUUUGAAGUCAUCAAAUGGGCUAUUUGACCAAGUUUGACCAAAGUCAAAGCAUUGGUUUUUACAAACACACCCUUUGACCGAACCCUAGAUUGUCCCAAAUGGAAAAGUCAUGAAUACAAAGUUUGCUACACUCAUCAAGUUCUACAUGUUGUCUAAUGGUCAACUUUUCAUUUGGAAAAGUUUGAACCACUGAAUUUUGAAUUUUCAUAGAACUCAUAGCCACGCAGCGGUUUCGGAACCCUAGAUGGUCUCGAAUGGAAAAGUCAUGAAUACAAAUAUUGUUCCAAUCAUCAAAAUCUACAUUUCAUAUAUAGACCAUUUUUGCAUUUGACAAAGUUUUGGGAAGGUGUAGUUGAAAAUCCACAAUUGACACAUAUAGUUUCAUAUAGUUUGUGUGAGAUUCAAAUAUAGUUUCAUACAAAGUCAAGCCGACACAACAGUGAACUUCUUCUUGACGUAUGACCCUUGGUUAUGAUCCUGCCGUAACCAUGGAGUAUCCUCAUUGUUUAACAGAAUGCUUGGGUCUUUGUUGACUAUGAAGGGCGGAAUUCGAUCAUCUCUUUCGUAAUCGCCUGACAUGUCUGACUUGUCCUCAAUUCCGACAAUGUUUCUUUUCCCAGAAAGGACAAUGUGGCGCUUUGGCUCAUUGAUGAUUGAGUGGUCAUCAUUUUUUCCUCUCUUUGGUUUCGUAGACAUAUCUUUGACAUAGAACACCUGACUCACGUCUGCAGCAAGGACGAAUGGUUCGUCUUUGAACCCACUAUUGUUAAGGUCCACGGUUGUCAUCCCAUACUCCUUGUCGACUGUUACCCCACCUCCGGUCAUCUUCACCCAUUGGCACCGGAACAAAGGAACUUUAAAAUUAGCUGCAUAGACUAGUUCUCAUAUGUCUUCUAUGCGUCCAUAAUAUGUUUGUCUGUUCCCAUUUGGAUCCGUGGCAUCCACGCGUACACCACUAUUUUGGUUGGUGCUCCUUUUAUCUUGGCCAACUGUGUAAAAUGUGUUACCAUUUAUCUCGUACCCUUUGUAUGUGAGGACAUGCCAUGAUGGUUGCCUGGCCAACAAAUAAAGCUGCUCAUCAAUGUUUUCAUCACCUUGACAUUUUUUGCGCAACCAAUCGCCAAAAGUUUCCAUGUGCUGACGCAUUAUCCAAGCUUCAUUCUUCCCGGGCCACUGGGACCGUAGGAAAUCUUUGUGUACCUCAACAUAUGGUUCCACCAAUGAGGAGUUCUGGAGAACUGUGUAGUGUGCUUUAUUGAAGUAAUCGUUUCCCGUACCAAUAUAUGUUUUCUUCCCAAGUGUUCCCUUUCCGCUGAGUCUGCCCUCGUGUCGAGAUUUAGGAAUGCCAAUUGGGUCAAGGUCUGGAAUAAAGUCAACACAGAACUCUAUGACCUCCUCUGUUCCGUAGCCCUUGGCAAUGCUUCCUUCUGGCCGGGAACGACUAUGGACAUAUUUCUUUAGGACACCCAUGAAUCUCUCGAAGGGGAACAUGUUGUGUAGGAACACAGGACCGAGAAUACGAAUCUCUUUGACUAGAUGAACUAGGAGGUGUGUCAUGAUAUCGAAGAAGGAUGGAGGGAGCACCAACUCAAAGCUGACGAGACAUUGAACGACAUCAUUCUGCAGAGUAGCUAGUUGCUCUGGAUUGAUUGCCUUCUGAGAAAUUGCAUUGAGGAAUGCACAUAGCUUUACGGUGGCUAGACGUACGUGUGGAGGUAGAAUUCCUCUUAAAACGACCGGCAGCAAUUGCGUCAUUAGAACGUGACAGUCAUGGGACUUCAAGUUCAGGAAUUUCUUCUCUGGCACAUUAAUUAUUCCCUUGAUAUUGGAGGAGAAUCCAGAUGGGACCUUGAUGCUGCUAAGACAUUCAAACAUGCUUUCCUUCUCUUCUUUGCUCAGAGUGUAGCUAGCAGGGCUUAAGUAAUGACGUCCAUCAUCUGUAUUUUCUGGAUGCAGGUUGUCUCGUUCUUUCAUGCGCUGCAAGUCUUGUCGUGCUUCAAGUGAAUCCUUAGACUUCCCGUAGACACCCAUGAAUCCGAGCAAGUUCACACAAAGAUUCUUUGUCACGUGCAUCACGUCGAUCGCGUUGCGGACCUCUAGGACAUUCCAGUAAGGUAGCUCCCAAAAUAUGGAUUUCUUCUUCCACAUGGGUACAUGUCCCUUAGCAUCCUUGGGAAUAGGUUCGCUGCCUCGUCCCUUUCCAAAUACCACUUUUAUAUCCUUGACCAUUUCGAGUACAUCAUCCCCGGUUCGAUUGAGAGGUUUGGUCCGAUGGUCUGCCUUGCCUUUAAAAUGCUUGCCUUUCUUUCGUACUGGGUGGUUCACAGGAAGAAACCGACGGUGGCCAAGGUACACGACCUUUCGACAUUUUUUCAAAAAUACACAGUCAAGGUCUUCAUAACAAUGUGUGCAUGCAUUAUAUCCCUUGUUUGACUGGCCUGAAAGAUUACUCAGAGCUGGCCAAUCAUUGAUUGUUACAAACAGCAAUGCUCGCAGGUCAAAGUGCUCUUGUUUGUACUCAUCCCACAUGCGAACUCCUGGUUUGCUCCAUAAAAGUUGAAGUUCCUCAACUAAUGGCCUUAGGUAGACAUCUAUGUCAUUGCCAGGUUGCUUCAGUCCUUGGAUAAGCACCGACAUCAUAAUAAACUUCCGCUUCAUGCAUAGCCAUGGAGGAAGGUUGUAGAUACAUAGAGUAACUGGCCAAGUGCUGUGACUACUGCUCUGCUCACCGAAAGGAUUCCCAUCUGUACUUAAGGCGAACCGCAAGUUUCUAGCAUCAUUUGCAAAAUCUGGGAAUUCUCUGUCUAUCGCUCUCCACUGGGAUCCAUCGGCAGGGUGUCUCAGCAUAUUGUCUAUCUUACGGUCUUCUUUAUGCCACCGCAACAACUUUGCAUUGUCCUUAUUUCUGAACAGACGUUUUAAUCGUGGUAUUAUAGGAGCAUACCACAUAACCUUGGCUGAAAUUUUCUUCCUAUGACGUUCUUCACCCUCAACAUCGCCAGGAUCAUCUCGUCUAAUCUUAUACCGUGAUGCCUUACAUACUGGACAUGCAUCCAAAUUCUCGUAUUCCUCCCCACGGUAGAGGAUGCAGUCAUUAGGACAUGCGUGUAUCUUCUGGAUUUCUAAUCCCAAAGGGCAGACAACCUGUUUUGCUUCAUACGUAGUGGUGGGCAAUUCGUUGCCUUUCGGAAGCAUCUUUUUUAUGAUCUUCAAUAACUGCCCAAAUGCCUUGUCAGAUGUACCAUUCUUUGCCUUCCAUUGCAGCAAUUCUAGUGUGGUACCCAGCUUUUUUUGCCCCUCUUCAGCGGUGGGAUAUAGCGAUUUCCUGUGGUCCUCUAGCAUGCGCUCGAACUUGGCUUUCUCUUUAUCACUUUCACAUUCUCUUUGUGCAUCACGGAUGGCAUCACCAAAAGCAUCAUCGCCCCGAUCAUCUUCUGCCGCCACCUCUUCUUCAUUAUCUCCCCCCAUUGCAACAUCAUUGAAGCCACCGUACUGAGCAAUAAUAUUGGCAUGGUCCAAUUCUUCUUCUUCUUCUUCUUCACCUUCAUCCAUUAUAAUCCCGCUUUCUCCAUGUUUGGUCCAACAAAUAUAGUUUGGUACGAAACCAGACUUUAAUAAGUGUGAAUGAAGAGUUCUUGAGUUAGAAUAUUCCGUCAAAUUCUUGCACACGGCACAUGGACAGCACAUGAAACCGUCCCUCUUACUUGACUCGGCCACACUUAAGAAAUAGUGCACGCCAUUAAUGAACUCUUCGGAGCGCCGAUCGGCAUUAUACAUCCAAUUACGUGUUACCAUCUGCAUUAAAGAUAACAUAUAUAUUAUGAAAACCAUGCACACAUAUAGUUUCUCAUCUUAUUGCACAACAUGUCUAAGAUACAUAGUUGAUUAAUUUAGGAAAGCUUGGCUACAACAAAUACAAUCGCAACUAGCAUUAAAAAAAACAAAACUAAAAUGCACUUAAGCAACGUAAUUAGUUCGCGUCCGAUCCCAACUAUAAUAGAUAGAUCAUUCGCUUGAUCAACAUCAUUGAACUCCUUUCGUCGGCUCACUGCCUCACCACCUUCAGCCUCAACUACCUGUGCAAAAGAUUUCUUAAUGUGUUCAAUGUAUUCUUCCUCCAGUACCAACCUGUACAUCCGCCGCUACCGUCCCACUGAAAUUAAAAGAGAGAAUCAAAAGUUUAAUUAAUAUCAUUUAAAAAAAUAUGCACAUAUAUAAGCAAAUGUCUGGAAAUAACUCACAUUACGAUCUGGACACUUGUAGAAUAUACGACCCUUGUUUACUCCCUCUUUCGACACUUUGUACUCCAUCAAAAUCUUCUGCCUACACUUGCCACAAGUAAUGAGAGGGAGUUCCGGACGGUAUCGCUUUUGAACCCGUUGAGAGACUGAAGACCCGGUCACGGUUGCCAUCUACUAUCCAUACUCAAUUUUUAAACAAUUAUAAAUUCCACAUUUACUAGUAAACAUGUAUGAUACAAUGGACAUUAUAUGUAGUAAUAAAAAUAAAUCAAGUGAUAUUAACAAACCAAUUAAUUUGAACUAUCCUACUUUCUAUGAUCAUAAAAAUAUACUAUAAUUCAUUCUUGCAAAAUACAUUAAAACUAGGUCAACAUGAAAUAUGAUAUAUAUAUAUAUAUAUAUGGAUACUAAUUCAUGUGAAUGAUUCAAAAUAACAAAGUGGAUUUGAGCUAAAAAAUGAUGGGAACAUCACAAGCCAAAAACAACAUGAAAAAGACAAGAAAGGCUGAAGUUAGUCACCUCCAAGCACGAAGAGACGAUGACGGAGUCGAAGAAGAUCAACGAUGGGCGUUGGAGAUGAAGAACAAAUGAAGAACAAGCAAGAAGAAGCUCCAAGAACAACAAUGGUGCUCUCGGUUUCAAAUGGGCAGAGGGGAGGAGGGAGCCGGCCUAUAAACCGGACCUUUAGCACCGGUUCAGGGCAAAAACCGGUGCUAAAGGGUUACCUUUUAGCACCGGUUUGUAACACAAACCGGUGCUAAAGGGUUUGCCUCGGCCCGUGGCUCUGGCCGGUGCUAAAGGGGUCUUUAACCCCGGGCCGCAAAAAGGCCGAGGUUUUUGGCCAUUUUGGGCAUCGACCAAUGCCUCAUUCUGUAGUAGUGUGAAUAAGUUUGAGGAACAGUGGAAGGCAAGUGUAACAUGAGUUCCUUUGUUACCUAAUAACUAUUUAAUCACCUCUUCAUGUGCAUGUGUCUAAUAUGAUAAACCCCUAAGGACUUUACCUAGAACCUUUGUUAUCCUGGAUCCCUUGUUCCUUGGGUUAUGAAUAUGGGUAGUUUUGCUUAGUCUGCAAUCACCAAACUAUAUAAUGUUAAUCUUGACUAAUGGAUUAUGUAAUCAAUGACAAAAUGAUGCUUUUUAGCAACAUGGACAAAAGGGAGCUAGAGCAUUGGUUCUUUUGGGUGCUCUAGUCUGUCCUCCAUAAGGACUGAAUCUUAAAGCGGCCAUCUAGGAUUUACCGUACAACCAUGAGAGCUACAUGGCUCUGGCUUUAGCUCAGUAAACUGAACUUCUCUAACUUGUUAGUGGUUACCGAAAGGCGCAAGAGGGGGUGCCUCGUGGUGUAUAGUUGUUUUCCUACCUUGGUGUGUACAGUGCCACGACCACAUGUGCCUCUUGAAGGAGGACACCUAUCCACACUUGCCAUUGAAACCUUGCGGAUACUAACUUGUUAGGGGGACUUUCGAAAGGCUUCAUAGUGAACCCUACCGACUUAUCUUGGAAGUGGGUCAAGAGGCUGAUCACCUCGGGCAUAUGGGUAACACGAUGACUCAUGGUGAAAGUGUACAAGCUCUGCAAAGUGUUUUAAAACUGAUAUAUCAGCCGUGUUCACGGACACGAGCGGCCUAGAUCCUUUUCGAGAUAGAUGGUUCUAUGGAUGGUUUGAGUGAUGAGAAAUGUUGAUGUUAAUUAUAAUUCUCACCUUGGGAGCUUAAGCAUAACCUAGCAACAUAAGUUUAAUAAUAAAAUAUGACCAAAUAAAAGUGCUUAUCACAGUUAAACCAAGUCAAGCCUUUUGAGCCUUUCAUCGCCUCAUGUUAUACUUGUUGAGUAUGAUGCGCUCACACUUGCUUUAUAUUCAACAAUCAAAAAUCCUAGAUGGGUACCAGAUGAUGAUACAAAGGCAGAGUUCCCUGAGGCAUUCCAGGAGUACUAGGCGAGUGUACCCCCAGUCAACCGUCCCUGUAGAGUAUGGAGACCCGAAGAGAAGAUAUAGUAUAGUUUCUAUCAUGCUUUUUAAUAGAUGUAAGCCUUGUUGUAACUAUGUUCCGAUAUGUAAUAAAGUAUUGUUCUUGAUAUUCUCCAUAUUUGUCGAUAUAUGUGUCGUGUGGAUAUCCUGGACACAAAUAUAGUUAGCGCUUGGUCUUCUUUGGAAAAUCGGGUGCGACAGACAAUAAAUGUGUAUGUGAUGGAUUAUGAAUGAUGGAUGUGUAUGUGAUAUAUCAUGAGCUGUUUAUAAUGAUAUAUAUGUGAUUUAUUAGUUUGUGUCACUGGAAAGGAAAAAACAAAAAAAAAUAAAAAAUAUGCCAGCUUUGCCGAGUGUGGCACUCGGCAAAGAGGCCUUUGUCGAGUGCCAUCACUCCGCAAAGCUGGCAGUUCAUGCAACGCAGAAUCUAGCUUUGUCGAGUGUCAGGACCACGACACUCGGCAAAAAAAUAUUUUAAAAAGAAUAUAAAAGUUUUCUUCACCGAUUGCAGCACUUCGGCACUCGACAAAGAGUUAUUUAAAAAAAUAAAAAUAAUAUGUCUUUGCAGAGUGCAAUAUUCUAGAAAAUUCUUUGCCGAGUGGCACACAUCCAACACUCAGC